AGAGUUUGAUCCUGGCUCAGAUUGAACGCUGGCGGCAGGCCUAACACAUGCAAGUCGAGCGGAUGAAGGGAGCUUGCUCCUGGAUUCAGCGGCGGACGGGUGAGUAAUGCCUAGGAAUCUGCCUGGUAGUGGGGGAUAACGUCCGGAAACGGGCGCUAAUACCGCAUACGUCCUGAGGGAGAAAGUGGGGGAUCUUCGGACCUCACGCUAUCAGAUGAGCCUAGGUCGGAUUAGCUAGUUGGUGGGGUAAAGGCCUACCAAGGCGACGAUCCGUAACUGGUCUGAGAGGAUGAUCAGUCACACUGGAACUGAGACACGGUCCAGACUCCUACGGGAGGCAGCAGUGGGGAAUAUUGGACAAUGGGCGAAAGCCUGAUCCAGCCAUGCCGCGUGUGUGAAGAAGGUCUUCGGAUAGUAAAGCACUUUAAGUUGGGAGGAAGGGCAGUAAGUUAAUACCUUGCUGUCUUGACGUUACCAACAGAAUAAGCACCGGCUAACUUCGUGCCAGCAGCCGCGGUAAUACGAAGGGUGCAAGCGUUAAUCGGAAUUACUGGGCGUAAAGCGCGCGUAGGUGGUUCAGCAAGUUGGAUGUGAAAUCCCCGGGCUCAACCUGGGAACUGCAUCCAAAACUACUGAGCUAGAGUACGGUAGAGGGUGGUGGAAUUUCCUGUGUAGCGGUGAAAUGCGUAGAUAUAGGAAGGAACACCAGUGGCGAAGGCGACCACCUGGACUGAUACUGACACUGAGGUGCGAAAGCGUGGGGAGCAAACAGGAUUAGACACCCUGGUAGUCCACGCCGUAAAC
rnacentral:rRNA from 1 species